GAUGAACGCUGGCGGCGUGCCUAAUACAUGCAAGUCGAACGAACAGACGAGGAGCUUGCUCCUCUGACGUUAGCGGCGGACGAGUGAGUAACACGUGGAUAACCUACCUAUAAGACUGGGAUAACUUCGGGAAACCGGAGCUAAUACCGGAUAAUAUAUUGAACCGCAUGGUUCAAUAGUGAAAGACGGUUUUGCUGUCACUUAUAGAUGGAUCCGCGCCGCAUUAGCUAGUUGGUAAGGUAACGGCUUACCAAGGCAACGAUGCGUAGCCGACCUGAGAGGGUGAUCGGCCACACUGGAACUGAGACACGGUCCAGACUCCUACGGGAGGCAGCAGUAGGGAAUCUUCCGCAAUGGGCGAAAGCCUGACGGAGCAACGCCGCGUGAGUGAUGAAGGUCUUCGGAUCGUAAAACUCUGUUAUUAGGGAAGAACAAAUGUGUAAGUAACUAUGCACGUCUUGACGGUACCUAAUCAGAAAGCCACGGCUAACUACGUG
rnacentral:rRNA from 1 species